rnacentral:piRNA from 1 species
UAGCUGUGAUAAUGGCUGCCCUGA